AGAACGAACGCUGGCGGCAGGCUUAACACAUGCAAGUCGAACGGGUGUAGCAAUACAUCAGUGGCAGACGGGUGAGUAACACGUGGGAACCUUCCUAGGGGUACGGAACAACUCAGGGAAACUUGAGCUAAUACCGUAUACGUCCGUAAGGAGAAAGAUUCAUCGCCCCUAGACGGGCCCGCGUCGGAUUAGGUAGUUGGUGGGGUAACGCCUACCAAGCCUACGAUCCGUAGCUGA
rnacentral:rRNA from 1 species